UCAAACUUGGUCAUUUAGAGGAAGUAAAAGUCGUAACAAGGUUUCCGUAGGUGAACCUGCGGAAGGAUCAUUAACAAAUCAUUAUCUAGUGGGGUAUAUAGCUAAUUACAAUUGUAAUUACUUUUUAUCUCACGAUGAGCCCCGCGCAGCGAUGCGUGUGAGUUUACUGGAGAUAUUAUUUUAAAAAUAUAUUCAGUGAAAACAUUUUAUCGUUUGACAUGUUAUAUCGUCACAUAUAUCGAAACUUUUAACAAUGGAUCUCUAGGCUCCCGCAUCGAUGAAGAACGCAGC
rnacentral:misc_RNA from 1 species